CCUACGGGUGGCAGCAGUGGGGAAUAUUGCGCAAUGGGCGAAAGCCUGACGCAGCGACGCCGCGUGAGGGAUGAAGGUCUUCGGAUCGUAAACCUCUGUCAGCAGGGAAGAACGGUCACUGUGCUAAUCAGCAGUGAAUUGACGGUACCUGCAAAGGUAGCACCGGCUAACUCCGUGCCAGCAGCCGCGGUAAUACGGAGGGUGCGAGCGUUAAUCGGAAUUACUGGGCGUAAGGCGCUCGUAGGCGGUAUGUCAAGUCAAGGGUGAAAUCCCCGCGCUCAACGUGGGAACUGCCUUUGAAACUGGCAAACUGGAGUGUGUGAGAGGAUAGUGGAAUUCCAGGUGUAGGAGUGAAAGCCGUAGAUAUGUGGAGGAACAUCAGUGGCGAAGGCGACUAUCUGGCACACAACUGACGCUGAGGAGCGAAAGCGUGGGUAGCAAACAGGAUUAGAUACCCGAGUAGUC
rnacentral:rRNA from 1 species